rnacentral:lncRNA from 1 species
CUGCAUUUCUUUUCAUCCUCAACCACAAAUGAAGUGUCUGCUUGCCCAACUCUCAUAUUCUUCAAGCUCAAGAAGGUGCCAUUCUUCCCACAUGCGGCAGCGCUUCUGAUGCAACCGCUGGAGAAAUCUUCAUUCCCCCUAUUUUCCUGUGAGUUAGGCUUAAAUCCGGGCAAACAUCUGCAAGGCAACCUAUUGUAUAGAUUGCAGCUUCCAAAAGUUCCCACAGGCAUUAAACACACUGCAUUUGUCUCUCGGCUCAAACCAUCGCAAAGACCAAUUUGUAUACACAUCGAAGUUCCAGUAUUGUAGCUCCCCUUCAACAUCCAACCUAAUCCUUGAAUUACUAAAAUAUGAGCGUGAUAGAGUUGUAUUUGUAGUAGAUGGAGUUGUUAUGUUGAAUAUUGAAUUUGUAGGAGGUACAAUGCUGGUGAAGUUCGAUAGAAAAUAUACUAUUCCAUCAGGCAUACUUUCUGAGCUAAAGAAAUCACUUGACUCCCCACUAGUCCAAUGCUUUAUAUGGUCAAUAUUGUCGAUAACAAACUGGCCCCCUUCUUCAUCUAGCUGAAAUGUGAAGUUACCUUCUUGUGGAUCAACUUCACUUUUCCAUGACGUCAAAUUUAGAUCCCCACUCAUCUUCAUACCUGGAAGAAAUGUAUCAGUUGGAUGGUCAAAGCUUUGCCAUAGAAUAGUUGCCAAAAGGGUAUUACUAUCACACAAAACCAAGUUCCCAGAAUCUAAGAGCUUAGCCAACCCAUUCGCUGGUUUUGAUGUUGAUUCAAGCUCUGUAGACCAAAAAGGAUCUCUAUUUUUAUCCAAAAUCUUGAGGUUUCCAUCAUCUGUGACAGCCAAAACUGCUCCAUCAUCAAGAAGUGGGCUGUGUCGAUUGGCAACCCACACAACUAUUCGUGGAGUCGACCCGUAAUACCAAAUUCCUACGUAGCUUUUAUUUUGUUCAGGAGUAAAGAACCCCAGUUCAAACCUUUUUCCUGCUGAAACAAGAGUUUCUCCACCAUGAUUAGUAAUCAAAUUACCAGCAUAUGUGAUCGUAUCUCCAGCAAAGCAACAUAAAAGGGAGGAGCAUAAUAAGAAUGCAUAAGAAAAGAAAACGGUUGAUAGCAUGCUAUGCAUUGCACAUAGAUCUCUCUGGUUAAGACCUCUUCUUACCAUCAACCAUAACCAUGAAUGUAUCACUAAGGCCAACUGCAAAGCAAAUUUUCACUGCACUUGUUCUUUGUUGACGCUGACCAUAAAUGAAGGGAGAGGAUGCUUCACUAAACUUAUAUUAAUUUAGAAUAGUUAAUCAUUAGAACACGACAACAUUUUCCUAGUCACCGACUAAAAUCUAACAGUGGAAAUAUGGUAUGGUAGUGCUUAUUUUUAAAAUAUAUUUUAUUUAAUAAUAUAUUAAAAUAAUAUUUUAUUAUUUUAAAAAAUUAUUUUUGAUGUUAAUUUAUUAAAAUAAUUUAAAAAUAUGUAUAUAAAAUUAAUUUUUAAAAAAUAAAAUUUAAUAAAACAUUGUUUGAAAUACAAUUUUAAAUAACCAUAUCAGUCUUAAUUACCAAUGGUGAUAGAGUUGUAGAGUGAGGUUAUAAUAAAGAUAAUACUGGCAAAGUAAAAAAUAAUUAUGGCAACAGUGAUAAUGAUAUUCCAUGUAAUGAGAAGAUAAGAUUUUGAUGAUUAAGAUUGUUGGAUGAUUUUGUGUAUAAAUUAUUAUUUAUAAAAUAUUUUAUCUUGUAAAAGAUUGUUAUUUUAUUAUUUUUAAAAAAUUAUUUUUGAUAUCAAAAUAUAAAAAAUAUAAAAAAUUAAUUUUUUUUAAAAUCAAAAUUUAAUAAAACAUCAUUUAAAAUACAAUUUCAAAUAACUUUAUUUGGCUAUUUAAAAUGUAUUAAAUAAUAUUUUUGUUAUUUUUAAAAAAACUAUUUUUGACAUUAAUAUAUCAAAAUAAUCUAAAAUUUAAAAAAUAAAUUUAAAAAAUUAAAAUGUAAUAAAACACCAUAAAUACAGUUUCAAAUACCUUUAUCUGGCUUAAAUUUUCUUUAAUGGUGGUACCCGGCCAUGGCGAUAGAGUUGCCGUAGUGGGGUGGUAAUGAAAAUAGCAACAGUGAUGAUAAUAUUGCAUGUAGUGAUGAUGAUAAUUAAGAUUUUAAAUAAAAAAAUUAUAAUUUAAUGAGAAACACAAUUUAAAACAACUUUAUCUAGCUUAAAUUUUCUUUAAUGGUGGUACCAUAGUGAUAGAGUUGCCGUAGUGGGGUGGUAAUGAAGAUAGCAACAGUGAUGAUAAUAAUGCAUGUAGUGAUGAUGAUAAGAUUUUGAUGGUUAAGAUUGUUGGAUGAUUUUGUGUGUAAAUUAUUAUUUAAAAAAGUUUAAAAAAUAUUUUAUUUUGUUAAAUAUUUUAUUUAAAACAAAUUCCUUCUUAAACUACCCAUAAAUAAUUAAAUUGCUUGCUGCAGGCGUGUUCUUUUCUUUUCAAGUCUUGGCUCUCCUUUUCCCACGCAAUUUUCUGUGGCAACAAGGGCCCGUCAAGGCAUUUUUCAACUUUAUGCAUUCAUGCUUUCAUGUCCACUCUUUCUGUAAGUAUAUCCUUCAUUUUGACAAAACCCACUAUUCCAUCCUAUAUUUUCACCAAACUUGUCAAAAGAGUCCCUCCAUUAUUAAUUUGGUCAAUUGAGCAUAUGUUUUUUCAAAUUUCAGUCAAUUGAGUAAAAUUUUCCGAAAUUAAAGAUUUAUCUCUAUCAAUUGAGAAAUUCUUCUUCACAACCUUAAUGCUUUGAAGUAUAAUAGAAAUAUUAAUAUUUAUAACACAAAUAAUAGUAUUUUUAAUUAUUAAAUACCUUCAAUUAUAAUAAAAAUAAUAAUAUUUAUGUCACAAAUAAUAAUAAUAAUUUUAUCUUUCAAAUCAACUAUAUGGCUUUUCUUUGGUGGUUAUUAUUAUUAUUAUCAUGGGGAAAAGUCUUAUUCAUCAAAACUCAUUGCACUGUGAGUUGCACAUUUGGGAGGGGGGACAUGGUGUGAUGUAGCCCAAGGCCACAAACACCUGGCACAAGGGCAAUCAUGCUCAGCCAUAUAGAGUUCCAAGGUUGCAGGGGGAGGUUGCGCCCCAGGCUGCGGACACCUAGCGCUUGGGCUAUCAUCAUUCCUGGCGCUAGGGCCAGACCUGCGAGCCUGACUGCUCAUCCAAGCCAGCAGGUUUGUUGACCUGUGCGCUGGGUCCGAACAUGGAUCCCUUUCUGUUGGGUCAGGCAUCCUGACCUAAAUCGCUUGUAUCUGGACACAAACCCAGCACCUUUGGGUCCGGACACGGCCCAACCCCCAACCCCUUGAGGUCCAAACACGAAAGGACCCAAACCCCUUGAGUCCGAACACCGUAAGACCCAAACCCCAACCCUUUAGGUUCGGACAUGGCCCCAUCCCCAAUCCGUUGGGUCUGAACACGGACCCAUCCCCCAACCCCUUUGGGUCCCCACCCCGCCCAACACGCAACCCCAACCCCCAACCCCCUUGGGUCCCCACCCCGCCCAACCCCCUUGGUUCCGGGCAUGGACCCAACCCCCAUUGGGUCUGGGCAUAAACCCAACCCCCAAAUCCCUUGGGUCCAGACACCGAAGGACCCAAAUCCCUUGAGUCAAGACACCAAAGGACCCAAACCCUAACCACGGGGUCCGAAGAUGGACCUAACCCCUUGGGUCUAGAUACAGCCCAAUCCCCAAGCCCCUUGGUUUAGGGCUACGUACCCAAAUCCCAAGCCCUUUGGGUCUGGACACGGACCCAUCCCCUAACCUACUUGGGUCCCCACCCCGCCCAACCCCCAACUCCCUUGGGUCUGGACACGAAAUAACCUAAACCCCUUGGGUCUGGACACCGAAGACCCGAACCUUAACCCCUUUGGUCCGGACACGAACCCAAUCCCCUUGGGUUUGGGCACGGACCCAACCUCCCUUGGAUCCGGACACGGAAGGAACCAACCCCCAACCCCCUUGGGUUUGGGCACGGACUCAACCUCCCUUGGAUCCGGACACGGAAGGAACCAACCCCUUGGGUCCCCACCCCGCCCAACCCCAACCCCCUUGGGUUUGGGCAUGGACCCAACCCUAAACCCCCAUUGGAUCCGGACAUGGAAGGAACAAAACCCCUUGGAUUCGGACACCGAAAGACCUAAACCCCAAUCCCUGUGUCCGGACACGGACCCAACCCCUUUGGUAUUGUUCCACCAAUACAAUGUUAGCUGUUUACAAUUUAUAAAGACAAUGACAUGCGUAUUUUUUGUUGUGCAGGAUUGCAAGGCCUGAGCCAACAUGUAUGUUGAUACAGCUGCUAGAAGAGCUACAUCUUAUUUUUUAUUUUUGUAUUGAAAAAAAAUUAAAAGCUCUUGCUCAUUUCCAUCUGCUGAAUCAUGAAGCUUUUAUAUUAAUGUUUUUGUUGUUUGGUGUGUUGGUGUAAUACAACAACAUACAUUACUUUUCUAUGUAUUGUGUCUUCUAGCUAUGCUAAACCUUGCAUCAUGCAGUAAAAAUGAUAAAUUUUAUUUCAGAAUUAAAAAAAUCUAUUACAUGUUUCCAUCUUAGAAUAUGUUGUUUUUUCACAUUAGUUUUUAACCAUUUGGUUAGGGUUUUUUUUUUAUCUUUUUAAAAAGAAUACACAAGGUGCCAAGACUUGUUAUUAUUAGAAAAAAAAAAAAAGUGAAUUUGAUUUCAAAUAUAAAAUUAAAAACUAUAAAAACUUAGAAAUUUUUUUUUUUAACCCACGUUGUUUUAAACACAAAUAUUUUUUUAAUACCAUUUUUUAAAAUAUUUAUAACAUAAAUAAUACUAUUUUUAAUAUUAAUACCAUCAAUUAUAAUAAAAAUAAUAAUAUUUAUAGCACAAAUAAUAAUAAUAAUAAUACUUUUAAUUUUAUCCUUCAAAUCAACUAAAUGAUUUUUCUUUGGUGGUAAUAAUAUUUUAUUUCAAAUUUAUUAAUGACUAAUGAUAAUAAGAACAAUAAUUUAUACCUUUACCCUACAAAUAAGUCCUAUACUAGGACCUAAUGGUAAUGGGUCUUGCUUCAAGACCUAAUUUCUAUGGGUCCUCGCCAGGCCUAAAUAAUUUGUGUUAUAAAUAUUCUUUGGUUUUUUUAAUAUAAUAAUUUAUAUUAUAAAUAUUAUUAUUUCUAUUAUAAUUUAAAGUGUUCAUAUAAAAAAUAUUAUUAUUUUUGUUAUAAUUUAAAGUGUUCAUAUCUAAAAUAUUAUUAUUUUUAUUAUAACUCAAAGUAUUGAUAUAAAAAAUAUUAUUAUUUGUGUUAUAAAUAUUAUUAUUUUUAUUAUAAUUCUAAAUAUUCAUAUCAAAAAUAGUAUUAUUUGUGUUAUAAAUAUUAUUAGUUUUAUUAUAAUUAAUAUUAUUAAUAAAAUAAUUAAUAAAUUUAAAAAAUAUAUUAUUUUUUAUAUUAUAAUUUUUUAUAGUAUUUUUUAUGAAAAUAAAAAGUGAGCUCGCCACGUAGCACGGACACCCAACUAGUAUAUAUUAAAGGGUUUCAAAUCUCACACUGAAAAAAUAACUUUUUUCUUGUGAACAUAGAGUAUAUAUACUAAAGGGUUUCAAACCUCACUUUGAAAAGAUAUUAUGCUAUUCUUUUAAGUUGAAAUAUUUAAACCAAAAUUUUUUUUUAUCCCACAUUGAAAAAACAUAAUUUUUUUUCUUGUGAAUAUAGAGUAUAUACUAAAAGGUUCGAAUCUCACAUUGAAAAAAUAACUUCUUUUUUUGUGAACAUAUAAUAUAUAUACUAAAGGGCUUGAAAUCUUAUAUUGAAAAAAAUAAUUUUUUUCUUACGAACAUAGAGUAUAUAUACUAAAGAGUUUCAAAUCCAACAUUAAAAAAAUAAAAUAUAAUACUAGUAUUUAUAAAGUAAACUUUAAAAAUGAUUAAUAACCAACUAAAAAAAUAUAAAAAAAGAGUGGUUUAGGAGAUAAACCACAUUUGAAAAGAAAAAAAAUCUCAUCCGAGUUUACCUAGUUCAACCCGCCAGGUUUUUACACUAGCCGAUCUUGUAUCUUACCCGAACCGAUCUAGCCAAUAAAUCAACCGGAUCAAGUUUAAUUCUAUGCUUUGAAUGCGAUUUUUUUUAUAAUAGGAAGUUGUUUUAAUGUUUUUAAUAAAUAAAUAAAUAAAUUGGGUUUUAACUUAAUCACCUAGGUUUAAUCUAAUUAAUUCCUAUAUUAUUUUUAAAAACCUAACCUGCGCUGAGCCGAGUUUAACAACAUUAUCACUAACUAGUUGUAAGCAAAUGGAGGAGUGAUAAGAAUAUGCCUGGCAGUUGCAGUUGCAUUUGCCAAGGCACUUGUUCAUACAGUCAUUUUCAUCUGAGUAGUCAGGUUCAGCAUCAGGCUUUCCUGCUUUCAUCGAUUUUAAUCCAUAAAGUUAUAGUGGUUGGGUGGUAAUGAAGAUAGCAAUUGUAAGGUGAAAAAUAAUGAUAGCAACCACGAUAAUGACUUUGCAUGUAGUGAUGAUCAUAAGAUUUUGAUGGCUAAGAUUGUUGAAUGAUUUUGUGUACAAAUUAUUAUUUAAAAAAUAUUUAAAAAAAUAUAAAAAUAUAUUUUAUCUUAAAAUAUUUUAUUCAAAACAAAUUCCUUCUUAAACUACCCGUAAAUAAUUAAAUUGUGCUGGCGACAGGCGUACGUGUUUUCUUUUACAACUCUUGGCUCUGCUUUCCCUCGCAAUUAUUUCUGUGGCAACAAGGACCCGUCAAGGCAUUUUUCAACUUUAUGCAUUCAUGCUUUCAUGUCCACUCGUUCUGUAAGUACAUUCUUCAUUUUGACAAAAGCCACUAUUUCCAUCCUAUAUUUUCACCAACUUGUCAAAAGAGUCCCUCCAUUAUUAAUUCGGUCAAUUGAGCACAUGUUUUUUCAAUGUCAGUCAAUUGAGUAAAAUUUUCUGAAAUUGAAGAUUUAUCUUGAUCAAUUGAGAAUUCUUCUUCACAGCCUGGGUUGUGUAGAGUUUAACAACAUUAUCACUAACUGGUUGUAAGCAAAUGGAGAAGAGUGAUAAGGAAUCAAAUAUCCAUGGAAUUCAAUACUUAUAGACAGAAACUAAAUUUGCUACCUGCGUUCUGCCACGAUCUGGAAUUAUUAUUUUUUAUGUAAAAAAAUGCUAAGAAAAAAAAAAGACUAAUUAGUAACUUAAAUAAUAUGAAUAAAAAAAAAUACAACGAUAAUAAAUUAAUUGAUAAGAAAAUUAACAACAAAUAAAAGCUAAACAGGAAUUGACUCAAGUCCAUCUAGAUUAUUAAACAUCCCAAAGUUAAAAGGGCGAAACUGAAAAAAUAUUAUUUUUUUUAAAAAAAAAACAAUGGUUAAAAUGGGUUAACUUGCAAAUUAUGCGAUCUUUGAUAUAAGAUUAGGAUAAUAUAAUGGAAAUGAAAGUAGAAAAAAAAGUUUGAAAGACAAUUCUUAACAAAUCAAAUAAGAACGUGAUAACUCUAUAGAAAAUAAAAUCAGAAUAAAAAAAAAGUCGAAACUCAAUUUCUAGCAAAAUGAAAUGUUGAAAGACAAAAAAAUAAUUUAAGAAAAAAAGAUCAAAAAAAUUUGAUUUCAGCCAACCCGGGUCAAAAUGCAAAAUCUUUGAUUUAGUUGUGAUACCAGAGUAACCGCGUUUGAAAUAAAAAUGAAUAAAAUCAUAAAAUUUAAUCAUCGAGCAACCCAAUCAUAGAGUUGCCGUAGUGGGGUGGUAAUGAAAAUAGCAACAGUGAUGAUAAUAUUGCAUGUAGUGAUGAUGAUAAUUAAGAUUUUAAAUAAAAAAAUUAUAAUUUAAUGAGAAACACAAUUUAAAACAACUUUAUCUAGCUUAAAUUUUCUUUAAUGGUGGUACCAUAGUGAUAGAGUUGCCGUAGUGGGGUGGUAAUGAAGAUAGCAACAGUGAUGAUAAUAAUGCAUGUAGUGAUGAUGAUAAGAUUUUGAUGGUUAAGAUUGUUGGAUGAUUUUGUGUGUAAAUUAUUAUUUAAAAAAUUUUAAAAAAUAUUUUAUUUUGUUAAAUAUUUUAUUUAAAACAAAUUCCUUCUUAAACUACCCAUAAAUAAUUAAAUUGCUUGCUGCAGGCGUGUUCUUUUCUUUUCAAGUCUUGGCUCUCCUUUUCCCACGCAAUUUUCUGUGGCAACAAGGGCCCGUCAAGGCAUUUUUCAACUUUAUGCAUUCAUGCUUUCAUGUCCACUCUUUCUGUAAGUAUAUCCUUCAUUUUGACAAAACCCACUAUUUCCAUCCUAUAUUUUCACCAACUUGUCAAAAGAGUCCCUCCAUUAUUAAUUUGGUCAAUUGAGCAUAUGUUUUUUCAAUUUCAGUCAAUUGAGUAAAAUUUUCCGAAAUUAAAGAUUUAUCUCUAUCAAUUGAGAAUUCUUCUUCACAACCUUAAUGCUUUGAAGUAUAAUAGAAAUAUUAAUAUUUAUAACACAAAUAAUAGUAUUUUUAAUAUUAAUACCUUCAAUUAUAAUAAAAAUAAUAAUAUUUAUGUCACAAAUAAUAAUAAUAAUUUUAUCUUUCAAAUCAACUAUAUGGCUUUUCUUUGGUGGUUAUUAUUAUUAUUAUCAUGGGGGAAAAGUCUUAUUCAUCAAAACUCAUUGCACUGUGAGUUGCACAUUUGGGAGGGGGGACAUGGUGUGAUGUAGCCCAAGGCACAAACACCUGGCACAAGGGCAAUCAUGCUCAGCCAUAUAGAGUUCCAAGGUUGCAGGGGGGAGGUUGCGCCCCAGGCUGCGGACACCUAGCGCUUGGGCUAUCAUUCCCUGGCGCUAGGGCCAGACCUGCGAGCCUGACUGCUCAUCCAAGCCAGCAGGUUUGUUGACCUGUGCGCUGGGUCCGAACAUGGAUCCCUUUCUGUUGGGUCAGGCAUCCUGACCUAAAUCGCUUGUAUCUGGACACAAACCCAGCACCUUUGGGUCCGGACACGGCCCAACCCCCAACCCCUUGAGGUCCAAACACGAAAGGACCAAACCCCUUGAGUCCGAACACCGUAAGACCCAAACCCCAACCCUUUAGGUUCGGACAUGGCCCCAUCCCCAAUCCGUUGGGUCUGAACACGGACCCAUCCCCCAACCCCUUUGGGUCCCCACCCCGCCCAACACGCAACCCCAACCCCCAACCCCCUUGGGUCCGAGUACAGACUUAUCCCCCAACCUUAUUGGGUCCCCACCCCGCCCAACCCCCAUUGGGUCUGGGCAUAAACCCAACCCCCAAAUCCCUUGGGUCCAGACACCGAAGGACCCAAAUCCCUUGAGUCAAGACACCAAAGGACCCAAACCCUAACCACGGGGUCCGAAGAUGGACCUAACCCCUUGGGUCUAGAUACGGCCCAAUCCCCAAGCCCCUUGGUUUAGGGCUACGUACCCAAAUCCCAAGCCCUUUGGGUCUGGACACGGACCCAUCCCCUAACCUACUUGGGUCCCCACCCGCCCAACCCCAACUCCCUUGGGUCUGGACACGAAAUAACCUAAACCCCUUGGGUCUGGACACCGAAGACCCCGAACCUUAACCCCUUUGGUCCGGACACGAACCAAUCCCCUUGGGUUUGGGCACGGACCCAACCUCCCUUGGAUCCGGACACGGAAGGAACCAACCCAACCCCUUGGGUUUGGGCACGGACUCAACCUCCCUUGGAUCCGGACACGGAAGGAACCAACCCCCUUGGGUCCCCACCCCGCCCAACCCCCAACCCCCUUGGGUUUGGGCAUGGACCCAACCCUAAACCCCCAUUGGAUCCGGACAUGGAAGGAACAAAACCCCUUGGAUUCGGACACCGAAAGACCUAAACCCCAAUCCCCUGUGUCCGGACACGGACCCAAACCCCUUUGGUAUUGUUCCACCAAUACAAUGUUAGCUGUUUACAAUUUAUAAAGACAAUGACAUGCGUAUUUUUUGUUGUGCAGAUUGCAAGGCCUGAGCCAACAUGUAUGUUGAUACAGCUGCUAGAAGAGCUACAUCUUAUUUUUUAUUUUUGUAUUGAAAAAAAAUUAAAAGCUCUUGCUCAUUUCCAUCUGCUGAAUCAUGAAGCUUUUAUAUUAAUGUUUUGUUGUUUGGUGUGUUGGUGUAAUACAACAACAUACAUUACUUUCUAUGUAUUGUGUCUUCUAGCUAUGCUAAACCUUGCAUCAUGCAGUAAAAAUGAUAAAUUUUAUUUCAGAAUUUAAAAAAAUCUAUUACAUGUUUCCAUCUUAGAAUAUGUUGUUUUUUCACAUUAGUUUUUAACCAUUUGGUUAGGGUUUUUUUUUUUUCUUUUUAAAAAGAAUACACAAGGUGCCAAGACUUUUAUUAGAAAAAAAAAAAAAGUGAAUUUGAUUUCAAAUAUAAAAUUAAAAACUAUAAAAACUUAGAAAUUUUUUUUUUAACCCACGUUGUUUUAAACACAAAUAUUUUUUAAUACCAUUUUUAAAAUAUUUAUAACAUAAAUAAUACUUUUUUAAUAUUAAUACCAUCAAUUAUAAUAAAAAAAUAAUAUUUAUAGCACAAAUAAUAAUAAUAAUAAUACUUUUAAUUUUAUCCUUCAAAUCAACUAAAUGAUUUUUCUUUGGUGGUAAUAAUAUUUUAUUUCAAAUUUAUUAAUGACUAAUGAUAAUAAGAACAAUAAUUUAUACCUUUACCCUACAAAUAAGUCCUAUACUAGACCUAAUGGUAAUGGGUCUUGCUUCAAGACCUAAUUUCUAUGGGUCCUCGCCAGGCCUAAAUAAUUUGUGUUAUAAAUAUUCUUUGGUUUUUUAAUAUAAUAAAUUUAUAUUAUAAUAUUAUUAUUUCUAUUAUAAUUUAAAGUGUUCAUAAAAAAUAUUAUUAUUUUUGUUAUAAUUUAAAGUGUUCAUAUCUAAAAUAUUAUUUUUAUUAUAACUCAAAGUAUUGAUAUAAAAAAAUAUUAUUAUUUGUGUUAUAAAUAUUAUUAUUAUUUAUAAUUCUAAAUAUUCAUAUCAAAAUAGUAUUAUUUGUGUUAUAAAUAUUAUUAGUUUUAUUAUAAUUAAUAUUAUUAAUAAAUAAUUAAUAAAUUUAAAAAAUAUAUUAUUUUUUAUAUUAUAAUUUUUAUAGUAUUUUUAUGAAAUAAAAAGUGAGCUCGCCACGUAGCACGGACACCCAACUAGUAUAUAUUAAAGGGUUUCAAAUCUCACACUGAAAAAAUAACUUUUUUCUUGUGAACAUAGAGUAUAUAUACUAAAGGGUUUCAAACCUCACUUUGAAAAGAUAUUAUGCUAUUCUUUUAAGUUGAAAUAUUUAAACCAAAAUUUUUUUUUUAUCCCACAUUGAAAAAACAUAAUUUUUUUUCUUGUGAAUAUAGAGUAUAUACUAAAAGGUUCGAAUCUCACAUUGAAAAAAUAACUUCUUUUUUUGUGAACAUAUAAUAUAUAUACUAAAGGGCUUGAAAUCUUAUAUUGAAAAAAAUAAUUUUUUUCUUACGAACAUAGAGUAUAUAUACUAAAGAGUUUCAAAUCCAACAUUAAAAAAAUAAAAUAUUAUACUAGUAUUUAUAAAGUAAACUUUAAAAAUGAUUAAUAACCAACUAAAAAAAUAUAAAAAAAGAGUGGUUUAGGAGAUAAACCACAUUUGAAAAGAAAAAAAAUCUCAUCCGAGUUUACCUAGUUCAACCCGCCAGGUUUUUACACUAGCCGAUCUUGUAUCUUACCCGAACCGAUCUAGCCAAUAAAUCAACCGGAUCAAGUUUAAUUCUAUGCUUUGAAUGCGAUUUUUUUUAUAAUAGGAAGUUGUUUUAAUGUUUUUAAUAAAUAAAUAAAUAAAUUGGGUUUUAACUUAAUCACCUAGGUUUAAUCUAAUUAAUUCCUAUAUUAUUUUUAAAAACCUAACCUGCGCUGAGCCGAGUUUAACAACAUUAUCACUAACUAGUUGUAAGCAAAUGGAGGAGUGAUAAGAAUAUGCUGGCAGUUGCAGUUGCAUUUGCCAAGGCACUUGUUCAUACAGUCAUUUUCAUCUGAGUAGUCAGGUUCAGCAUCAGGCUUUCCUGCUUUCAUCGAUUUUAAUCCAUAAAGUUAUAGUGGUUGGGUGGUAAUGAAGAUAGCAAUUGUAAGGUGAAAAUAAUGAUAGCAACCACGAUAAUGACUUUGCAUGUAGUGAUGAUCAUAAGAUUUUGAUGGCUAAGAUUGUUGAAUGAUUUUGUGUACAAAUUAUUAUUUAAAAAAUAUUUAAAAAAAUUAAAAUAUUUAUCUUAAAAUAUUUUAUUAAAAACAAAUUCCUUCUUAAACACCCGUAAAUAAUUAAAUUGUGCUGGCGACAGGCGUACGUGUUUUCUUUUACAACUCUUGGCUCUGCUUUCCCUCGCAAUUAUUUUCUGUGGCAACAAGGACCCGUCAAGGCAUUUUUCAACUUUAUGCAUUCAUGCUUUCAUGUCCACUCGUUCUGUAAGUACAUUCUUCAUUUUGACAAAAGCCACUAUUUCCAUCCUAUAUUUCACCAACUUGUCAAAAGAGUCCCUCCAUUAUUAAUUCGGUCAAUUGAGCACAUGUUUUUCAAUGUCAGUCAAUUGAGUAAAAUUUUCUGAAAUUGAAGAUUUAUCUUGAUCAAUUGAGAAUUCUUCUUCACAGCCUGGGUUGUGUAGAGUUUAACAACAUUAUCACUAAUUGGUUGUAAGCAAAUGGAGAAGAGUGAUAAGGAAUCAAAUAUCCAUGGAAUUCAAUACUUAUAGACAGAAACUAAAUUCGCUACCUGCGUUCUGCCACGAUCUGGAAUUAUUAUUUUUUAUGUAAAAAAAUGCUAAGAAAAAAAAAGGACUAAUUGGUAACUUAAAUAAAAAAAAUAAAAAAAAUACAACGAUAAUAAAUAAGUUGAUAAGAAAAUUAACAACAAAUAAAAGCUAAACAGGAAUUGACUCAAGUCCAUCUAGAUUAUUAAACAUCCCAAAGUUAAAAGGGCAAAACUGAAAAAAUAUUAUUUUAAAAAAGAAAAAACAAUGGUUAAAAUGGGUUAACUUACAAAUUAUGCGAUAUAAGAUUAGGAUAAUAUCAUGAAAAUGAAAGUAGGAAAAAAAGUUUGAAAGGAAAUUCCUAACAAAUCAAAUAAGAACGUGAUAACUCUAUAGAAAAUAAAAUCAAAAGAAAAAAAAGUUGAAACUCAAUUUCUAGCAAAAUGAAAUGUUGAAAGACAAAAAAAUAAAAAAUAUAUAUAAUUUAAAAAAAAGAUCAAAAAAUUUUGAUUUCAGCCAACCCGGGUCAAAAUGCAAAAUCUUUGAUUUAGUUGUGAUACCAGAGUAACCGCAUUUGAAAUAAAAAUGAAUAAAAUCAUAAAAUUUAAUCAUCGAGCAACCCAAUAUUGAAGGAAAAAAAUUAAAAAAUUAAUUAAAAAAAACUACGAAAAAAAAAUAUGAAUCGACUUGGGCUAACACGCUAACUAGACAAUCAUGGCCAUUAGAUCAGGUGAACCCAAUAGAAAUGAAAGGAAACAAAAGCACGAAGACCGAUUUCCUAUAUAUCUAAUGUUGAAUGAUAAAAUUAAAAUAAAUUAAUUUCAAAAAAAGACAAAAAAAAAAAGUCAACACACGUUAACCUUUAAAAUCAGUGAAUCAAGUCAUGAACUCGAGAUUAACAACAUAGAAAACAAACUGUAAAAUAUCACAAAGAAAAUCUCUAAAAAAAAAGUUAAAAAAAAUUAGCUUAAAAAAAAAAGAAAAAAAAGGAAGCAAACUGGGACAAAUUUCUUGAACUUGAUUUAAUCUCUAAAACUCGUACCUUGUGAAAUUCUAGACUUGCAUUGAAUCAAUAAGCAUAAUUCCCAAUUAGUUUAACAUAUCAAGUUUAAAAACUUUCUAAAGCAAAAAAAAAAUUAAAAAGAAUGAGGAUCAAAUUUGAUAGGAAAAAACUCAAAGGAUGGUGAAAUCAUAAAACAAAAUCAAUUUAAAGAAUGAUCUUAAACAAAAUAAAUAAUAAUAAAAAAAAAUGAAUAUCAAAUUUGAAAGAUGAGAAAAUUAAAGGGCGAUGAAAUUGAAAAGGCAUUUCAAUUUUAUAAAUUAUUCAAGAUAAAAAAAAUUAAAAAAAAUGACCAAAUCUAAUAAAUUAACAAGUUAAAGGGUUGUUUGGAAUUUUUAAGGGAUUAGCACGAAAAUCUAGGAGGAAAAAAGAAAAAAAAAUGGUUUGUGGUUUGUGUUUUUUCAAUAUGUGAUAAAAAAAAUUAGUUUAAAUACUUCAACUUAAAAAGAUAACAUAAUAACAUACUAACAUAAUAUAUUUUCAAUGUGGGAUAAAAAAAAUUUUAAAAUAUUUUUUAAAACUUUAUUAUUUAUAACAUGUAUAAUCUAUAUUUAUAUGAAUUGUUUUUUUAAUUUUUUCAUAUAAAAUAUUAAAACUUUAAAUAUAUAUUUUAAUUUUUUUCUAAGUUAAUUCGAGUUAAUCUAAAUCAACCUAUAUAAUUUAGGACCCAGCAGGUCAGCUUCCGGAUCGAAUCCAAUAACUAUGACUGAUGGUGAUAGGGUUAUACUGGUGGGGCGGUAAUGAGGAUAGUAAUUGUAAAGCGAAAAAUAAUAAUCAACAAUAAUGAUGAUUUUGCAUGCAAUGAUGAUAAGAUUUUGAUGGUUAAGAUUGUUGAAUGAUUAAUUUUGUGUACAAAUUAUUAUUUUAAAAAUAUAAAAAAUAUUUUAUCUUGUUAAAUAUUUUAUUCAAAACAAAUUCCUUCUUAAACUACCCAUAAAACAAUGUGCAUGCCUUGAUAUUAGUAUUGGUCUCACUAUGUUUGGGGCAAUAUGAUCCUUUUCUAGCCUAUAAAUAAAUGUCGUGUUAUUAUUUUCCCUUCCAUUAUUGUUUCUAGCUACUCUAAUAUACCUCCAAAGAGUUGCUGAAGAUUUAAAUUCUAUUAAAGAAAUGAUAUUUUUAUAUUCAGUUCUUUGAAUUUAUAUAGCUAUCCUAAAUUUUAGUCUCAACAUUGAUAUGCUAGAUAUUUCUUUAUAUAUAUAUAUAUAUAUACACACACACUAAAGACACAAUUAUCAUUUAUUGAUAGAUAUAUGAUUGUUUAUUUUUAUAUUUAUUUUGUCAGGUUUAUUUAUUUUAUAUAUAUCAAAACUAUCAUAAAACAUUAGAAAAUAAUUAAUUUGAUGCUCUUUAAAAUUAAAAAUACUUUCAAAAAAUACAUAAAAAAUAGAAGCAUCACCAAAUACAAAAAUAUUAAACUUUAGAACCAAAUAAUUCGUACAUUGCCAAAGUUCAACUUUUUUUUGAUAUUGUGGACUCACUCUCAAUAACCAAAUCACGGGAGAGAGUUCAUUAACGAGAUCUCUAGAAAUUGCAUAUUUAUAUAUGGGUUGAGAAAUUCUCUUUAUUAUACAGUAUAUAAUUUAUGUAAACCAAACGUCAACUGAGCAAUGAUUUUCUUUAUUGAUACCGUGAGAUCCCCUAGCCAAGACAGACAAAGUAUACCAUAAAGUUUAAUCCCAAAAAUAAUAAUAAAAAAAAAUAAAGAACUAAAAAAAAAAACUGAAGGAAUGAGAAAAAAAAACUCUAUUACAAUUCGUAGUGUUUUCUCUAUAGGUGAACAUGACUUUUGCCGGUGAGCCCACCAAGCCCCUGUCCAGAAAACUACAGAGCAUCUCCUUAAUCAUGUCCGGAUCAGACAUGGCCAACAACCUGGGCUUGACUCCAAACCGGUGGAGAAAUGUCUUCCUACUCUUCCUUGACCAUUGAUAGACGUUGGCAUGGACAAAUUGAUAUUAGGCUGUUAUCCUAGGACCUUCCGAAGAUUGGAUUGUAGGUAAGGCUAGUAUCUGUGCCCAUUUGAAAUGGUUUUGGAUUCUCCAUGGAACCCUUAAAACUGAGUGUAGGAAUUUCAAAAUGCAGAGUCUAAAGAAGAUCACAAAGAGAAGAAAAAAGCAUGGUGAAAGAAGGAUCGUGCAGUUGGCUUGAUUUGUGAGACGAGAUUGUUUUUACCAUCAUUAAAGUAAUGUGCAGCUGCAAUGGUUGGUGAAUUAUGAGGGGUGGUUGAAAAUUAUAUGAUGCUUUGUCUCCUUAAAACCAUGGGCACCCUGUAUGGAUUAUGAUGCUCAAAAAGGGUUAGUGUGGAAUCUGAUCAAGCGACUUGACACAGCCGUUGAAAGUGUUCAAAGUUUCGUAAGACUCUAAAUUUAGACGAAUUGAUAAUAACAACGUAGAACACUUGAAAGAAAAAUUGUUUACGGGGCAUUACACAGAUACAAUAAUGAAGUUCUGAGAGGGUUUUGAUUACAAUUUCAGAACAGAAGGACUAAUUAGACAUGAAUUCUGUCUUGGAAAAACAUGAGAUUUCACCAGGAAAAAAAAACCUUCCCAUUCAAAGAUUGAGAAACUUUCCAAGAUUUUACGCAAAUUGACAGGAAAUUAUAUGCCUUCGUCUGAAGCAAUCGCUGUAUCGAUGCUUGUUUCUUGUUUACUUGAAGAUGAAGCUGUGCCAGAAAGGCCUCUCUCUUGUUCACUUGAAGCAAAAGCUGUGCCAGAAAAGCCUCUUCGUAUAAAAAAGGCUGGGUUCUUAGGAACCGGCAAGUUUGCAGUUUCACUGCUAAGCAUCACAACAACAUUCGACAUGGUCGGACGGUCGGAUGGAUCAUCUUGUACGCAUAAGAGUGCAGCAUUUACACACCUCAGAAACUCAUUGGUGUUGCAAAUCUCACGUAAUGUCUCGUCCAUUAAAUCCAAUGCCUUGUCUUCUCUCCAUAAUCUCCAAGCCUGGAAUUUUGAAGUUUAAGUCAGCAUCGCUUAUCAAAUGAUAAAACAUUAUAUUAGCACCGUUGAACUUACAUAAGCUAGAAGGCUUUGGGCUUCAUCAGAAUUAAAAUAUCCGUGUUCCUUUUCCCGCUAAGAAUCUCAAGUACAACGACGCCGAAACUAAAAACAUCAGAUUUGACAGAGAAUAGGCCAUCUAAUGCGUACUCUGGCGACAUGUAGCCACUGCAUUACAACAAUUUUCACAAGAAUCAGUAACUCAGCUGGACAGACAUCUAAUUCAGCAUUAACCAUGACAUGAUUGUAGGAUUGGAGGCUGCUAAAAGAGAAUAUUUGCAUAUGAAUGUAUGUCUGAUGAAUAUCAAUGUUGAUAGGAUCUGAAACUUACUAAGUUCCAACAACUCUGUUUGUGCUCCCUUCGGUUUGUUUGCCUUCGAACAUCCUUGCCAAUCCAAAGUCAGAAAUUUUGGGAUUCAUUUCCGCAUCUAAUAGAAUGUUGCUCGUUUUCAUAUCACGAUGAAUAAUCCUGAGUCUAGAAUCUUGGUGGAGAUAAAGAAGACCUCUAGCAACUCCUAAAAUGAUAUCAAAGCGCAUCUCCCAAUUCAGUAACAUUCCCAGAUCUCGAUCUUCAGAGGUUUUCCAUUUCCAUAAGAACAAAAAUUAGAAACCAUGGGAGCUGCAAACGUACAUUUAUAAAAUAAAAAUGAUGAAUCUGUUUAGAGACUAACCAAAUAUGAAGGAAUCUAAGCUUUUGUUAGGCAUAUAUUCAUAGAGUAAAAUCUUUUCAUCUCCUUUUAUGCAGUACCUACUAGUCUGACAAGAUUCCGAUGCUGCAAUCUAGCAAUCAAAAUCACCUCAUUCUUAAACUCCUCUAGGCCUUGUCCUGAAACACUAGAGAGUCGUUUUAUUGCGAUUUCUUGACCUCCUGGAAAUUUUCCCUGAAACCAAAGUUGCCAUGCAGGUAAAAUUCAGCCAGAAAACUUGUCAGACACAAAAAUUCCAAUGAUUAACGUAAAUAUUACUUUGUAAACAGGUCCGAAGCCCCCUCUUCCAAGCUUGUUUGCUUCUGAAAAAUAAUCCGUAGCCGCUAGUACGCUGUCUAAAUCAAAUAAAGGUACAUCUAUGCCCUUCUUAUCUUCUUCGUUGAACUCUUCUGCAUCUAUCAAGUUCUUGACCCGUUUCUCAGUGCCAUACAAAACAGCUGCAUUUCUUUCAGUAUUUUGCUGGUUUUCUGAAAUUUCAACAAGACAACUGCUAAUUACAUGAGGAAUCACUUACAAACUUCAAUACCUACACGUUGAAAAUUUUUCUAGUUACCUCGUCGUUUGGCCUUCUUUCUCAUAACAAUGCAGAUGUAAAGGAAGAUGCUUGAUAGAACUAUGACACUAGCAAUUGUAACUCCUACAAUCAAAGACAAUGGUUUCUUUUUUCUCGAAUAUCCUCCUGCUUGUCCAUCGAAAACUUCAAGAAAGAAAGGAUGAAACUGGAUGAAACUUUUGGUUUUCACUACUUUUGCAGUUUGAGGCAAGAUAUAGAGUGCUCACCAUGAACACAAUUUAGAGCAUUGACAUCCCACCAAAAAAUUGAAUUGCAGAGGCAUCUCGCUGUACCAUUUCCUUUUUUAUUGCAAGUUGAAUUUGGCCAAUCGUCGCAGUCUGAAGAUGAAGAGCAGACUGGCUCUUGAGGUGGCUCCCAAACAAUAUCUAUUUCUACCAGACCUUGAGAUGGAACGUUUGAAAUAAAAUUUCCUGCCACGGUAUCACACCAGCGUUUAGAGGCGUUCAUCUUAAAUGGAAAUGACGUGUUGAACUUCCGAAUUUGACCUCUUGUACUGGCAUUACAAUCAUCUACAUCUUUCUCUUGGAUAACAAAUGUUCUUGUAUCUUGAUUGAUGGUAGUGACAUUGUAGGUGCCGUUGUGUGUCUUAAAGCUGAGUCUUCCUGUGGAAUUAUCGCAGUAGAAACUGAAGUACAUGGGGUCACCACAAUCUGAUCCAGUACUUAGAGGAUAAGGAAUCACAUUUAUGCCACAAGGCUCACAACUUUUAGCCUUUGAUUCUGCAAAACAUGGAGCUUUUUUUAAGGUAUGAGACAGUACUGAUAUUUAGUUCAGUUAUGAAUUAAGUCCACUGCUUGUGUGCAAUCUUCUAUCGUAGGAAAUUUUCCUUGACGUAAUUACAGCAUCUUGUAGUAACAAAAGGAGAAAGAACAAGUCGAAAGAAGGAAGUACCUAUGUCAGCAAUAGGGACACGAACAAAGAGAUCCAGCCCAUCAUAAGAAUAUUCCUCCUGGAGAUCUUUAAGAUCAUCCAUCCAGAUCGAGCAGGUGUUGUUGCCAGGUUGUCUGUCCCUUCGCAUAUUGACUUCCCCCUUCACAAAGGAAUAAGCUGGGCAUUGGCACUUAUCGAGACACUCCUCUCUGCAUUUCUUUUCAUCCUCAACCACAAAUGAAGCGUAUUGCUGUCCAACUCUCAUCAUCUUCAAGCUCAAGAAGGUGUCAUUCUUCCCACAUCCGGCAGCGCUUCUGAUGCAACCACCAGAGAACUCUCCAUUCCUCCAAUUUUCCUGUGAUAUAGGCUCAAAUCCUGGCAAACACCUGCAAGCCAACAUAUUGUACAGAUUGCAGCUGCCGAAGUUCCCA